AUCCAGCCGAUGAGUCCCAAACAGGACGAAACGCGCGUUCUGGAU
rnacentral:hammerhead_ribozyme from 1 species